UGGAAAAAAAGAUUUUCAAUAUUCCAAAUUUCGAUUCCUAAGUGAAAGUUUCAAUACAAAUCCAUCGUAUUUCUAUCACUUUCACUUGUACAUUAAAAAAUAAAACAAAGUGAAAAAAUAGAAUAAUGAUCUCUCUGUAAUGGUUGGUCUGAAUCAUAAACAAUUCUUCUAAUUUAAAAAAAAGAUCAUACACAAUUUAAGAAAAUUGAAAAGAAAAGCUGUAAAUCUUAUUCUGAUUGCAUCAUCACUCACAAGCAUAUUUUCAAUUAUUUCUAUGAUUGCAGGCUGAAUUUGGAAUAGUUAUCCGUGAAUCAAAAUUCAUCCCUAAAACAUGGUGUAAACACUGUACAAAAACUUUUGCCUUGUGGUGAUUUGUUUCUUUGUUUCCUUGUUCAAUUUUGUAAAAUAAAGUGUCCUACAUUUAUUAAAACUUGUCAUGCAUUUAUCAUCACCCAUUACCUAUUGUCAGAUUUCACUUAUCUGCGUAUAUAUACAUGGAUUAGUAGCAGGCUAGCAGCAAUAACCAAGUAACUCAUCAAGAAAUGGUUUCUGUAAAGAUGUUUUUCCUGGCUACUCUAUUGCUUGUUGCCUCGGUCUCGGCUCAAGAGUGCAAGCCUCAAGAGUGCAAAGUCGACCCCGACUGUGAUAAGCAAACUGUAAUUUGCCCUCAACAAGAUCGGCCAUCGAACUUUUGUUUCGAGGGAACGUGCUAUUGCACUCCAUGGCCCCUUAAAGGGUGCGACUUUGACCAGGACUGCGCUCAGGCUCGUACAAACGACUGCGGCAUUUAUAAGUCGGUUUGUACUCAUGGUACUUGCAUUUGCAGCAAAAUAGUUCACAAAAUUAAAAUCGAACCGUCUACCUCUGCUGCAAAUGCAUUAUCUGUUUUUUUUGCUUUUCGGUAAUUAAAUAAGUAUUAUAUGCUUAUUAAAUUAUGUUUGAAUAAAAGUUUGUCGUCUCGUAAUAAUUCAAUUAAUUAUGAGUUCGUUAAAGGUUCGAUUCGAAAGCGACCCAAGUUGUGAAGUCUUACUUAUGGUUCUCCGGCCAACAAUUGAAUUAUUCCUAAUAAUAAAUUUCACCAGUUUCGUGU